UGCGAGGUAAGUGAAAGGGGGUGAGGGUAGGAGUUAGGGAGGGGGGUAAGAGUGGGGAGUUUGGUUUCUCCUUGAAGUUGGGGUGUGCAGGGAAUUGCGAUGUAAUCAUGCUGGAAUGUAUGCAGAGUCACAUACAGACCUAUGUGAUCCAGGAAAUGAAGUGUUGGUUUCUAUUCAGAAUUCAGAUCAUUGCUGGAAAGAUGUCUUUGGAUUUGUUUAGAGCAGAAGGUGAACGUUUCUGCAUUGGGAAGAAGUUCCUGUGACAGCAGCACGGGAUGGUCAGGCAGCCUGCUUGAGCCCAGAGCUCACCUGGGAAGUUCUUGCUCUUCCUGCUGUGUGAGAGAGUGUGUGGUCCCACACCAGCCCCUUUCUGACACACCACUGGUACUGCUCCCCAGCAGGGAAGACUGGGGCUGACCUACCAUGCCUCUCUCACUGCUUCAGCCAUCCAGGUCACAGGUGACAGGGUUUCUUGAGGAGUUUGACCGAUACUCUUCCCUGGCCAAACUCAUGUCCAUCUACCACACAACGAACAGGAGCAUCUUCAACUGGACAGAGAGCCGCAUUGUUGAGUGGGAGAAAUUUGCUGAGCUGGCUAAAUAUGAGCCAGAAUCCCAGAAACCAACAGUGAAAGCGCUGCUAAUUGUGGCCUACUCGGUCAUUAUCAUCAUGUCUCUCUUUGGGAACAUGCUGGUGUGCCACGUGGUGCUGAAGAACAAGAGGAUGCAUUCAGCCACCAGCCUCUUCAUCGUCAACCUGGCAGUGUCAGACAUCAUGAUCACGCUGCUCAACACACCUUUCACCUUGGUCCGCUUUGUGAACAGCACGUGGAUUUUUGGGAAGGCCAUGUGCCACAUCAGCCGCUUUGUGCAGUACUGCUCCCUCCACGUGUCCACACUGACCCUGACGGCCAUCGCUCUGGACAGGCACCAGGUCAUCCUGAACCCGCUGAAGCAGAGGAUGUCCCUGACAAAGGGAGCUCUGAGCAUCUCUGUUAUCUGGCUGAUGGCAACCUGUUUCUCCCUGCCCCAUGCUGUCUACCAAAAGCUUUUCCAGUAUAACUACAGGGAAGCCACUGUCCGGAGUCUGUGCCUCCCUGACUUCCCCGAGCCUUCAGAGUUGGUCUGGAAGUAUCUGGACCUGUCUACCUUUCUCCUUCUUUACCUCCUGCCUCUGCUGAUCAUCACCGUCACCUACAUGCGCCUGGCCAAGAAGCUGUGGCUGCGCAAUGCCAUCGGGGACGUCACCACGCAGCAGUAUGUCACCCACCACAGGAACAAGAAGAAGAGCAUCAAGAUGCUGAUGCUGGUGGUGGUGGUCUUUGCCGUCUGCUGGUUCCCCCUGAACUGUUACGUGGUGCUGAUCUCCAGUCUGGGCAUCAAGACGAAGAACUGGCUCUAUUUCGCGCUGCACUGGUUCGCCAUGAGCAGCACCUGCUACAACCCCUUCAUCUACUGCUGGCUGAACGAGAGCUUCCGCGCGGGGCUCCGCUCCCUGCUCUGCAUCUGCCAGAAGGUGCCCCGGCCUCGGCAGCAGGCUCUGCCCCCCAGGGCCGUGUCCUGCCGCGAGGCGUGGCUGGAGCAGGCCAGGUGCAGGAAGGGACCGGCCUCCCAGGCCAGCUGCUCCACCAGGAACCUCCCGACGGCCAACACGGACCUGUGAGCCGCGGCGCUGAGGGGAGUUACCUGGCCGUGGGAGGCACCAAGGGGCAUCUCCCAGGCUCUCCUCAGGAGCCAGUAUUGCUGCUCUGUUGUUUUACUGCUGAUUUUUGGCUUGUCUUACUAUAGCCCCUCCUCUGCUUGGCAUGGUGGGCACACAGCCUCUCCAGCACUCUACCAGUAAAACCCACGCUGCAGCUGGCCCAGGGGGCAGGGAUAUGUACAGGGGACAUGGAGCUGCUCAGACAUUGUGAUCUGCUUUCAGGUUUUCCCAUUUAUUGCUAUCAGAGGGAGUGGGCCCAGGUUUCUGUCACUGGCUGUAACACGUGCCAUAACAUGGGGCUCUGCACAGCAGCAGAAACAAUCCGUGAUGACAGGUGUUUGAAGGAAGGAGUUGGACAUGCAGAUGGACUCCAUCCACAGGGAGCCUCACCAGUUAGUGUAUAGCAAAGCCUCCUACAGAGUGAGAAGGACAGAAAGGAGGGGGAUCCUAGCUUCAGGCUUCACUUGACCCCAGCUGGGCACCUUGGGUAUGCACUGCAGUGACUGCACCAGAAGAAAACAGCAGAACAAGAGGAGUGGCAGCAGGAAUGGGUGAAUACUUCAUCCCUGAGGCACUUUGCUUGGAGCUCACAAUUAUUGAACAUGGGAAUUCAAAGCUGUCUGUGCUGGUUGCCAGCACUGUGCUCCCUCAGUGUACAGAAGGGAUUGUUUUCAGUCAAAAAACAUCACUGUGAGUUUCUCAAAAUGUUAAGAUAAUCUCUAAUUAAUAAGCAUCGCCUCAUUUAAUUAGUUAAAGAAGCUAUAAUUUGUUUUUUUAUUGUUCCUCGCUCCUCACUGUUUUGGUGAACAGCUCUCAAACUGCCAUGUAUUGUCUUUAAUAUUUAUUAGGUUUGUUUUCCUUCCUUUCUUUCUUUAAAUGGCUGAAUAACCUUUUUCUGGAGGAGUCCAAGCCCUUACUCCAAAGAAGGGGUCUCUUCACACUCCCUUGAUCUUUUGCUAAUCCCUGCAGUUAUCUAUCUCUUGCUGUCAGAAAUAACCUGGCUGGUUUUCCUUGGAUCUGUCAAUCGCAGCAUCUCCUCCUUGCUGAAUUUUUCUCCCCUAAAUGGGCAGGAUGUACGAGCUGACUGUAUCGAAUCUCCGUAAUGGCUCAGCUAUCUGGACUGAUAAUUAUCAAUGCCUGAGUGAGAUUCAGAACUUUGCAAGCUUCACCCCAUGCUUCGAGGCUCCUGAAUCACUUAAGGAUGCCCUGACUCCCAGCAGCUCUCAGGCAAACAUAGAAUGAACAAUAUAUAAAAUAAAAGUAUAACCUGAGCGUCGUUUGACCAGGGCAUGGACAGUGCCUGGAGGGCAGGAGGCUGCAUCUCUGCUGGACUCCGAGCCAGGCUCUGGAAAAGGGAAUCUGUGAAACUCGGCUUCUGCUGGGUCUGAGUCAACUCAGCACAUAAAUAGAUGCUUAAACAUUCCUUAAUCUGUCUCCAUCCCGGCGGGCACCUGUGGAAUUGUCUUGCCGAGCGGCGCUGGGAUCCCAGGGAGAGCUCCCAGAGCCAGGAGCGAGGCUGUGCUCGGCUCCGGCCGGACAGGGCUGCUGGGGCAGCAGCAGCAGCAGCAGUGCACUUUGCUCCCUGCAGACACCAGCCCGGGACCCGACAGGAGUGUGGGGUGCCAGGAGAACCCGCCGGGAAGCCUCUGCCAUCAGGAGACCCCUCCCUAUCUGUGGACCGGCAGGCAAAGCCCCCCGGGAGGCAGAACCGCGAGGGAGAGUUUGGAGGGCAAAUUAUUGAAACACUGAGUCACCACAAGGCUGCUCCAGGGAAACUAUUUGAGCACACACAAAUCAGCGUGCAAAGAUCCAGCGAGACAUGUCUGAGUGAUUAACAGCCCGAAUUUAUUAAGGUUAGCUCAUGCCAAAUGCAGCAGAGUGCCUUCAGCAGAGUUGCUGAUGAAGACGAUAACAGGGAACGCAGUGCAGGGGAUACCUGAAUUCCAGAGACAAAUCCUCUUAUAUAGCCCCACCACAUAAUGAACAAAGAAACCACAACAUGCCAACUAGAUUAACAAAAAGCUAGCAGAAAAACCCCCACAAUGAGUCAGAAAAUUAGCUCAGGAAGGAGAGACAGAAUACAAUUAUCAUCACUUAGCUCUUCAAGUGGAAAACAGUAUGGAGGGGCUGGCCAAAGCAUGCUGCAGGGGGGAAUGUCCUCAGUUAAAUCCAGCUUAAGCCCUGGAUGUUGGGGUGUAGGUGGCCCAGUGUCAAACCAUCAUCAUCUUGCACUGAGAAGUAACUCAGCAUCUUAGGUCAAUCACAGAGCAGGGAAGGAAGAGGGAGGAAGGAGCCUGGUCCUUACCUGGGAGACUGGAUGUGAAGGCACACCCCGAAUUCCCGCGUGGGAGGUGAUGUGCAGCCGCCCUGUGCCCCAGGCAGCAGCAAAGGCUCUCCCUUGAGCCGGGGCACACGGCUCUGCUCUCUCACUGACUGUGGAGACAACCUGCCUGCCCCACAAAGACACCACCUGCCCCCACAGAGCCCACCUGCCCCCCAAAGAACUCCCCUGUCCCCACAGAGCCCGCCGGCUCUCCCCGUCUGCCUCCUCCUGCACCACCCCUGCAAAGGAACGCGUCUGAUCUCCCAGGCUGUGCAGGGAGCCCAGGCAGGAAUAGUGGCAAGUGAGGACAGGUUUAGCACAGGGCACGGGCUGCAGUCAGCGCUUGGUUUGCAGACUAAUGGCAUUUCAUGAGCUGCCCUGUCCCACCAGUGCUCAGCAGUGAUCCCCACCCCAGUUCCAGGGUCUGCUCCCAAACUGCUCCCCUGAGGUGAUACCAGAGCUCCCCAGAGCUUGGCUCAUCCCAGUCUGAGCUGAGCAGGUACAUUGGAGGCGUCUCCUUGCCCUGAUGUGCUGCAGAUAUUGGGUUUCUGCACUGCAGCAGGACUGAUGUUCUUUGGGGUCCCUGAUGGGAUGGGGCAGGGGGCUGGCAGCAGGUACCAAAGGCUGCUCUGAGCAGUGCUGGGAGGGACCAGCCAGAGCAGGCAGAGGUGUGGGCGCUGUGCCUGGGGCUGUGCUGGAGCCAGCCCUCCCUUAGGAGCUCACAUGGAGCCUCCACAGGCAGCAGAUCAAAAGCGCCUCUUGCCCUGCUCCCCAUCCCUGAUGUUUUGUUAUUUGCCCUGCUAAUAAGGGCUGAAUUAAUGCACUUGGUCCUUGAUUGAUGUUUCACUCCCCCAGCAGCCCACACUGGCUGAUGCUGCUCAGUUCAGCAGUGCCAAAUUGUAGAAGUGGAGAUCAGCUCUCACUUAACCAGACGUGAGAGGGCAAAAAUAGUAAUAAACACUCCAAAAGCCACAGGCUGAGCUCUGCAGGAACCAGGUCUGGUUGUACAACACAAUAGUCUGUCACUUGAAGAGACUUCUCCAUGACAGGCCCAUAAAAGUCUCCUUGGCAGAUGAGACCAGACUAAUUGCUUUAUAAAAUCAGAUGAAUGGACCAUCUAAUGCAUCUGCUGGAGACAAACCCAACUGCUUUAUGGGACACUGUAAGGGGCAAGUACAGGGAGUGUCCCCAUUAAUGGAAUUCCUGCUUAUUGCUUCACAAUUAAUGGGGCUUCAGAGCAUAAAGGUUUAUAUCCUCUAUAUCAUUCCCACAUGCUUUCAUUUCAUACAUCUGCAUCCCAUCCAUGCUGUGUUCUGCAGGCUGUGGGACUUUGGUGAUCUCCUGUUUCCAAAAUUUCCACUCUACAGGGACCUGCAGUUGGUGUAGCUGAUAGCAACAACAGGGAUUUUCAAAGCCUCAUUUUGACCAUUUCUUGCUGUUCCUACAGCACUGCAGAAGUCAUUUCCAUUUCAAGCCCACACUUGGAGCCAAGCUGAACACCACCAUCAGUGUGAUUCCAGGUGCCCAGACUGUGUGUACUGUUAGGAGAUAAUUAUGACACCUAACAAAAAUGAUGGCAGCAAGAUUCAGAGCAGCAGAUUUUGUUCCUAUUUUUGAGACAGUGUUUUUUUGCAGCCACAUCCUGCCUCAGGCAGUUUUCCACAGGAAUUAAGCAAUCAAUUAAUCAAUGUCCUUAACAUUUUGCAGCUUCCUGCUCCUUCCACAGCUUAUUUUGACCUUUUACUGGUGAUACAUGUCAAACAUGGCAGAAUUCAGAACACAAGGAGUGCCUGGAUCACUUCCAUGAUGGAUUUACCACUGUUCCAUCAGUGGGGAGUUGCAGUAGGCUGUGUGGCUCUGGGCUGUUUUGGACAGUUUAAUUUGCUUCUGAGCUGUGAUACACUGCUCAGACCUUUCACAUUCAGGUUAAUAAACCAAGUCUCUCCUAAA